GACGAGAUGAUGGACAGCUUCAGCCCGGCUUCAGCCCGCUGCGGUCCUCGCUGCCAACAUAAACCUCAGCGCUUCAGACUGAGACCCAUGCAUCAGAGCACCCUGAGCCUGGGCGACACGCCGCCCUGCUACACCACCACCCACACCCAGAGUUAUUCCGGCAGGUCGGCCGAUGGACGUCCUCUCGUCUUCCGCCUCAGAGACCCCGGCUUCCCCUCGCAGCACUGGAGCCAGCUGGAUCUCCGUGACAACACCAUGCCGCCGCAAAGUGUGUUGCAGUCACACAGCAAAGAGGUGCACGUGCUCCAGCACGUGACUCGGAGAGUUGACCCAAAGUUGGAAAACUGGGCUCGGUAUGACAGCAGCAGAGCCAUCAGAGAGCUCAUCAACCAUCAUCAGCAUCAUCCAUCCGAGCGCCGGAGCACCUACAGGACGGAGCACACGAGCCCGGAGUUCGACGGCUCGUCACUGCAGGCCAGCGGCCGACAGACGCAGUGGCACCAACACGACAUCCUGACAGGUGAACCAAAGCAGGUGAUUGGGCCAGGGAAGUCCAGCAGACGGUCCAGAGAUCAGCAGCUGUGGGCGACCAGACGCUGGGAGACGGACUGUACUGCAUUCAGACUCUACUGA
rnacentral:lncRNA from 1 species